GACAGAGGGUGCAAACGUUGCUCGGAAUCACUGGGCGUAAAGGGCGUGUAGGCGGGUAGGCAAGUCGGGCGAAAUCCCUGAGCUCAACUCAGGAACUGCACUCGAAACUGCUUAUCUUGAGUGCCGGAGAGGAAAGCGGAAUACCUGGUGUAGAGGUGAAAUUCGUAGAUAUCAGGUGGAACACCAGUGGCGAAGGCGGCUU
rnacentral:rRNA from 1 species